GUCAGGUGUGGUGGCACAUGCCUGUAUUCCCAGCUACUCAGGAGGCUGAGGCAGGAGGAUCACUUGAGCCCAGGAGUUUGGGGCUGCAGUGAGCUAUGAUUGCACCACUGCACUCCAGCCUGGGCAACACAGUGAGACCCUGUCAU
rnacentral:SRP_RNA from 1 species